UGGCCGUAAUAACGGCUCAGGGGCCACAAAGUCUUAAGCAAUAUUAGACUGUCGUACAUAAGUAGGCCUGCCCCGAUUUUUGUGUGUUUUAAGUAAGAAAUGAUAUUAGACUGUGGUACAUAAAGCCGCCUGCCCUGAUUAUGUUCCUUUUAUAACUGCCAAAUAAUAUUUUUUAACUGUCGUACAUAAUUAGCCCGCCUGUCCUGAUUAUGUUGUCCUGAUUAUGUAUUUUCUGUCCUGUUUUUAACCGGGCCAAGCUGCUGUACAUGGGCAGCGUUUAUUAUCCGGGCAGAACAGAGCCAACCCGCCUCAUAAUCAGGCUCUGAGUGGGACAAAGGCAUCAGAAGUUUGGAGACGAAAGGCAGACAGUGCUUUCGCACUCUUUAUUGGAAACCACGAGCGACUGUGUCCGUCACAAUUUUUUGCCAUUGAAGAACUGAAUUAUUCCUCAAGAGCAAACAAAUGCUAACAUAUAAUGAUUAAUGAAUUUUCGAAAUUAAUUGAUAAUCAUAUACAUAUAAUAAGGGCUUCUGUUACAUUCAUUGGUUUUGCAGGUGUGGCGAUUUUUUCUAAGAAAUCACAUUUGUUCAAGAUUUAUAACAAUGCUGCUGAAAUACCAUCUGAAUUUAUCAGCAAGCAAAGACAGUUAAGAGGAGUUGUAAAAAAUAUUCAUGAAUCUGGAAAAAUACAAAUUCAGCACCAGGCUACUCUUUUGCCAAAAUUUUUCACACAAAAAGGAAAGCAUCUGGAAAUUUUACUGGCUGGGACACAUCCUAGAAAUGGAUGGCUUUCAUUUCUUACUACGCAGUUAUUGCAUAAACCUGUUCAUUUUGUAAUACUAAAGAGAGAGGGUAAUCUGCUGUACUCUGUCCUAUACCAGAAAAAGCUUCACCAGUAUAACCCUAUUCAUGCACGGACAUUUGAUGGCCUUAUAUUUAAGUCGGAUAUCAGCUUUGUUUCAUUAUCUUGGCAACCACUUGACCUAUGAGAACCAAACCUUGUACAAUGUUAACACAGAGAAAAUAAAAUUACAUAAGCUAUAAGUGCUAAACAAGUUAAAUUGGAAGUAAUCGCUGAUGCACGUGGUAAAGGAGUAUGGAAAAAAAACUCAAUGAAGGAGAAAAUCUUGAAUUAUUUGAGGAGAAAAAGAACGGGCUAAAUCUAAAAGAUAAAGAAACCUAAAAGAUUUUCACGGCGUAGUGAUCCUUACAACAUUAAACCUGAUCUCACCGCAAACACGUCAUCUGGUUAUGUAAAGUGUAACAAAAAUUGUGAUUCUUGCAAAAACUAUGUAGAUGAAACGUCUUGUAUAACAUCAUUUGCAACAAGGAAUACAUUUAGGAUUAGACGAAACAGCACUUGUAUCGCAAGUAACGUUGUUUAUGUUGCAUACUGUAAAAAUUGCGGUAAGCAAGGAGUUGGUUCAACUGUAUCUUGGAAAUCAAGAUCGGCGAAUUACAAAUCACAUAAAAAAGAAGGUGCCAUCCUAUAGAAUAGUACGACAUUUUACUUAAGAGUUUUCUAACGACGCGGUACGGCAUAUUCGUUUUAUUAUUAUUGACGUGGUUAAUAAUGUUGAAAAUCUUGCAAAGGGUGAAAUUGAUUGUUGUUGUCGCAAAAUGCGAAGUGUUUUUGAAAAGUGUGGAAAAGUGCGAUGCGAUUUCUAGCAUUUUUUACAUUUAUUCGAAUUACAUCAAGCCAUGAAUUUUAGGUCGGCGUAAGAAACAACCAUGAUUUAUAGCCGUCUUCUUUGUAGGACUAGCAUCUUGUUGAACGCCGGUCGAUUAUCUUUCAGCGCAAUAUUCUCCUUAGGGCUUAAUAUAAUUACUAUUUCGAGACUUCAGCUCUUUAAUUUUCUAUUGUUAAUUUUCUUUUUUUUUUGUAGUUGACGUUUUUUAUUGCAACUAUACGCAUAGGAAUUUUUAAAUGUACCUUGUAAUAUAAAUAACCAGUAUCGUUUGUAACUUGUACCUGAUGAAGAGUAAUAAACUCGAAAGCUUGUCAA